rnacentral:rRNA from 1 species
UACAGAGGUCUCAAGCGUUGUUCGGAUUCAUUGGGCGUAAAGGGUGCGUAGGCGGCGUGGUAAGUCGGAUGUGAAAUCUCGGAGCUUAACUCCGAAACUGCAUUCGAUACUGCCGUGCUUGAGGACUGGAGAGGAGACUGGAAUUUACGGUGUAGCGGUGAAAUGCGUAGAUAUCGUAAGGAAGACCAGUGGCGAAGGCGGGUCUCUGGACAGUUCCUGACGCUGAGGCACGAAGGCCAGGGGAGCAAAACGGG